rnacentral:lncRNA from 1 species
CCUUUGGCAGAGUUGUGAGGUGGAUAUAUGACUGUUUUUAUUCCAUUUGCUAAGGAAAAAAGAUGACUGCUAAAGCUCGCUCCAUCAAGGAGGCAUCUAAGAAAGUGAUCACUCCGAAAACAAAGGAAGAAAAAAAAGUUACCAAAAAGCUGCCUACUUCAAAAUCAAAGGAGGGAACACCAACUGUUUCAAAAAUGGAGGCAAGACAAGCUAAAUCCAAGAUUUCUUCAAAAGUACUGCCUGAAACCUUUGUUGCUGUGCAAGUGAAAGAAGUGCUUGAAGACCCAAAGGUGAGGCUUGAAACUCCACAACAUUCAGUGCCAGUGAAGGAUGAGGACAUGGAUCAAGAAGCUCCAGCACACUCUGUGAUAAUUGGCUGCCUAAAGGAUGAAGGCAUGGAAUUAGAAUCCCCAGAAAUCUCUAUAGCAGAUGAGCAGGAUGGCAGCAUGGACGUUGAAGCUGCAACAAGCCUUGAUACACAAUGCUGCUUAAAGGAUGGAGUUAAGGAACCAGUAACCCCAACAAACUCUAUUGCAAUUGCCUGCUUAAAAGAGGGGGACAUGAAAACAGAAGCAACCGUGAGCCCAGUGCUCAUUAGCUGUUUAAAAGAUGAGGAUGUGGACUAGAAGGUCAAGAAGCAUAAAUAUCAAUGAUUCUGCACAGCACUCCUUCACGAAUCAAGGAAGGUGAAUUGCUGACCUCUUUGACUGUACUCUAGCUUUUUAUGUGAUGUGAUCGGCCUAUGAAACAAUUAUUAGAACAUAUAUUCUAUCCAUCAUGCAAAAAGGCAGGUCUACAAUGCUGCUCUGCAUACUACUAUGAAUGAAUUUCUGCAUUAUAAAACUCUGUGGAAAGGCAGUGACAUGUUACAGGGCAUUUGAAAUUUAUCUGACCACGGUAAUCAUCACUAUUUCAGUCAACCAUGGACUGCCUUCGAAGCAAGUUAUUGGGCUGGUACUCAAGAAAAGUUUUCUGCUGAAAUAAAUGGCAGAUCAGGAAAAUGGGUAAGAAAGCU